rnacentral:rRNA from 1 species
UACGGAGGGUGCGAGCGUUGUCCGGAAUCACUGGGCGUAAAGGGCGCGUAGGUGGCGCGGCAAGUCAACGGUGAAAGCUCGACGCUCAACGUCGAGUCGGCCGUCGAUACUGCCGCGCUGGAGCACUGUAGAGGCUCAUGGAAUUCCGGGUGUAGCGGUGGAAUGCGUAGAGAUCCGGAAGAACACCGGUGGCGAAGGCGGUGAGCUGGGCAGUUGCUGACACUGAGGCGCGACAGCGUGGGAGCAAACAGGAU